AGUGAUGCAGGUGAGCCCUGUGAGGUGGUCUGCAGAGAUAUUACAGUCCAUGAUGAAUUGGCGGAGACCCUCUUCCAUGUCAUCUCACUCCAGGAGCCAAGCAGAGAGACACCUGCACCUCAAACAUUGCUGAUCAACAAGGUGAAGGAAAAGCUCUGAAGCUCUCACGCCAGAAAUGAGAUGCCCCAGCCUGGAAGUAAUACUCAUUACUUUUUCUCAUUAGCUGGAAUUAGUUUCAUGACCUCAUCAGUCACACAGAGGUCAGAAAUUGCAAUUCAAUCAUGUGCUCAGAGAUAGUUAAUGAACAGUGCCAAUGACUAUCACAGCAUGAUCUCCAUGUUCUUGACACAGUAAUUAAUAAAAAUAUUGGCUAGGAUAAGA
ensembl:lncRNA